GUCCCCCUGACGGGCCACUCUUCGAGCUCAGUCCAUCGAGCCACUGUCAAACUGUCCUCUUUGUCCUCGGAGCCAUCUACAUAGGAAGACAAACUACCUGUCUACCUGGAACCAGCUGUUUGACCAAGAGAACACUAAGGCACCAGACCUUUAUGAUAAAAUUUGGAUGAAGAAAAACCUGAUUCUCAAAUCCUAUGUCAGAUGCACACCCCAGGAGUUGGGACCAGUCCUAAAAGAGAUCAGAGAUUACUCUUCUGAUCUUGUACCAUUUUAAAAGAGUAAUAAUUUACUCCUGAUAUGUAUUUUUUGCCUCCCUGCUAGAUUGUUAUAAUCAGUUGCACACUCUCUAAUCCUUAAUUUUCUUAAUAUCUUCUUGUGAGAAACUCUG